GGGCCCGUAGUAUAGUGGUAAUAUGCGGCAUUCGCAUUGCUGAGACGGGAGUUCGAUUCUCCCCGGGUCCA
rnacentral:tRNA from 1 species